rnacentral:rRNA from 1 species
CCUACGGGUGGCAGCAGUGGGGAAUAUUGGACAAUGGGGGCAACCCUGAUCCAGCCAUGCCGCGUGUGUGAAGAAGGCCCUCGGGUUGUAAAGCACUUUCAGUGAGGAAGAACGCCUGGUGGUUAAUACCCAUCAGGAAAGACAUCACUCACAGAAGAAGCACCGGCUAACUCCGUGCCAGCAGCCGCGGUAAUACGGAGGGUGCGAGCGUUAAUCGGAAUUACUGGGCGUAAAGCGCGCGUAGGUGGCUUGAUAAGCCGGUUGUGAAAGUCCCGGGCUCAACCUGGGAACGGCAUCCGGAACUGUCAAGCUAGAGUGCAGGAGAGGAAGGUAGAAUUCCCGGUGUAGCGGUGAAAUGCGUAGAGAUCGGGAGGAAUACCAGUGGCGAAGGCGGCCUUCUGGACUGACACUGACACUGAGGUGCGAAAGCGUGGGUAGCAAACAGGAUUAGAUACCCUUGUAGUC